rnacentral:rRNA from 1 species
CCUACGGGAGACUGCAGUGGGGGAUAUUGCACAAUGGGGGAAACCCUGAUGCAGCGACGCCGCGUGUGGGAAGACGGUCCUCUGGAUUGUAAACCACUGUCCCCAGGGACGAAGAUGACGGUACCUGGGGAGGAAGCUCCGGCUAACUACGUGCCAGCAGCCGCGGUAAUACGUAGGGAGCGAGCGUUGUCCGGAAUUACUGGGGGUAAAGGGUGCGUAGGCGGAAUGCCAAGUCAGCGGUAAAAUCGCGGGGCUCAACCUCGCUCCGCCGUUGAAACUGGCGUUCUUGAGUGGGCAAGAAGGAUGCGGAAUGCGUGGUGUAGCGGUGAAAUGCAUAGAUAUCACGCAGAACUCCGAUUGCGAAGGCAGCAUACCGGCGCCCAACUGACGCUGAAGCACGAAAGCGUGGGUAUCGAACAGGAUUAGAUACCCGUGUAGUC